CCUACGGGGGGCUGCAGUGAGGAAUAUUGGUCAAUGGGCGCAAGCCUGAACCAGCCAUGCCGCGUGCAGGAUUAAGGCCCUAUGGGUUGUAAACUGCUUUUAUACGGGAAGAACCCUCCGACGUGUCGGAGACUGACGGUACCGUAUGAAUAAGCAUCGGCUAACUCCGUGCCAGCAGCCGCGGUAAUACGGAGGAUGCAAGCGUUAUCCGGAUUUAUUAGGUAUAAAGGGUGCGUAGGCGGACCUGUUAGUCAGUGGUGAAAUACUGCGGCUUAACCGUAGAACUGCCAUUGAUACUGCAGGUCUUGAGUACAGUUGAGGUAGGCGGAAUGUGUGGUGUAGCGGUGAAAUGCUUAGAUAUCACACAGAACACCGAUUGCGAAGGCAGCUUACUAAGUUGUAACUGACGCUGAUGCACGAAAGCAUGGGGAGCAAACAGGAUUAGAUACCCUAGUAGUC
rnacentral:rRNA from 1 species